rnacentral:rRNA from 1 species
GACGUAGGGCGCGAGCGUUGUCCGGAUUUAUUGGGCGUAAAGAGCUCGUAGGCGGUCUGUCGCGUCUGCUGUGAAAACUCGGGGCUUAACCCCGGGCCUGCAGUGGGUACGGGCAGACUAGAGUGCGGUAGGGGAGACUGGAAUUCCUGGUGUAGCGGUGAAAUGCACAGAUAUCAGGAGGAACACCGGUGGCGAAGGCGGGUCUCUGGGCCGUAACUGACGCUGAGGAGCGAAAGCGUGGGGAGCGAACAGG